rnacentral:ncRNA from 1 species
AACAGAUUGGCGGAAUGCUCUCGAAACCAAUUCACUUGAGUGAGACAGAGGAGAGUGGAAUUUCGUGUGUAGGGGUGAAAUCCCGAGAUCUACGAAGGAACGCCAAAAGCGAAGGCAGCUCUCUGGUCCCUACCGACACUGAGGUGCGAAAGCAUGUGGAGCGAACAGGAUUAGAUACCCUGGUAGUCCAUGUCGUAAACGAUGAAUGUUCGCCCUUGGUCUAUGCGGAUCAGGGGCCCAGCUAACGGUGAAAUUUC